UUUUGUGUGUAUGCAUUGACAUA
rnacentral:siRNA from 1 species